rnacentral:rRNA from 1 species
CCUACGGGAGGCAGCAGUGGGGAAUUUUGGACAAUGGGCGCAAGCCUGAUCCAGCAAUGCCGCGUGAGUGAAGAAGGCCUUCGGGUUGUAAAGCUCUUUUGUCAGGGAAGAAACGGCUGAGGCUAAUAUCCUCGGCUAAUGACGGUACCUGAAGAAUAAGCACCGGCUAACUACGUGCCAGCAGCCGCGGUAAUACGUAGGGUGCAAGCGUUAAUCGGAAUUACUGGGCGUAAAGCGUGCGCAGGCGGUUUUGUAAGUCUGUCGUGAAAGCCCCGGGCUUAACCUGGGAAUUGCGAUGGAGACUGCAAGGCUUGAAUCUGGCAGAGGGGGGUAGAAUUCCACGUGUAGCAGUGAAAUGCGUAGAGAUGUGGAGGAACACCGAUGGCGAAGGCAGCCCCCUGGGUCAAGAUUGACGCUCAUGCACGAAAGCGUGGGGAGCAAACAGGAUUAGAUACCCUGGUAGUCCACGCCCUAAACGAUGUCUACUAGUUGUCGGGUCUUAAUUGACUUGGUAACGCAGCUAACGCGUGAAGUAGACCGCCUGGGGNGGUACGGUCGCGAGAAGUUAAACGUUAAAGUAAGUUAGUACGGCGUGAGACGUAGACCGACGGACGACGACGAGGGAGGAGG